GGGGAUACAGCUCAGCAGCACAGCGCCUGCCUGGCAAGCAUGAGGUCCUGAGUUCAAUUCCCAGUACCA
rnacentral:tRNA from 1 species